UUUGCCUCUCGUUGAAAAUACAUGUUGUUUUAUCCUUUUAAUCGCUGAAAUACUUCCUACUUAAAAUAUGUCAGAAGUGUAAGCCUAACCAGUUUACUCUGAUUGCAAAUCAAGUGUUUCCUCCAAUAUGCUUUUCUGAAUUGGGAAAAAUGGGGCUCUUAGAGAUCAAUAUGUGGCAUUCUUCGUGUUGUGAUCAAUUGGUGAUUAAGUGAAAAUGGUUUAGCUUAAUUUGCUUUGAAAAGCUGUGCUUGCGCUGAUAAAGUGUAGAAGCAUUUCUGAGAUGAGAUACAAGGAACAGAUGUUUAGUAUAAAAUAUUGAUAGCACUGAGCAGAGAUAAGCUUGGGAUUUAAUUUGUCUUAAUAUUUCCAUUGCUACAAAUUCAACAGCUUUUAUCUUACUGGGUAAUUACAACUUUUUCCCCCUCUGGCAUAAGAUAAGAUAGACUUUUUUCAGUUUUCUGUCACUUUUAAACUCUUUAUACCCCCCUUCUCUCUGUGUUCUUUUUUCUUCCCCUAGGUACUAGUUUCUUUAUUUUAAUUUCAACUGCAAUCUUCAGUUACAAGAUUAGAUAAUUUGUUUGUAAAAUUCGACAUUUUUCUUGCCUGUUGUUUUUAGGGUAUCUAAUCGUGUUACCCCUGAAAAUGAAAUGCACAUGUUAGGAUAUAUGUUGUUUUGUCUAGAAGGUCACAGAAUGCUGAGAUUCAGACAACACAGGAGUUUGUUUUUGUUUAUUUGUUUGUUUCACAUGACAUUCAGGCUAAGAAAGGGUUUCUGUUCCACGAGGUCAUUUGGGAACACAGGUGGAACAGUAGGUUCUGUCCUCCUUGAUAUAUGGCUUCCUUUACCAUAUGGACAGCUGGGGCUUCCUUUGUUACUGUUUUUCAGGCAGGAGGAAGGGCGCUGGGAGCUAGGUGGGUGAGAAGUUCAAGGCAAGCAACUUGUCUUCAAGGAAGUGACCCGGAAGGUGCACAUAUCAAUUAUAUUCAUUUAUCAUUGGCUGUUUGUAAAUAUGUUCACAUCUCACUGGAAGGGAGUCUAGACGAUCAUUUUAUCAAUGAAAAAAAUACAGAUUCCCUCUUCUAGUAAUAUGGCAGAGCAGGUAUGCUGAGAGGUCCUCCAAAAAAAAAAAAAAAAAUCUGAAGGACAUCAUAAAAUAAUAGCAUUAUUGUAUUGCUGGAAUCAAGAACAUGAGGGAAAUCUCUGACAGACAAAGGACAGAAGAACAGAAAUUUUCAAAACAGAACAGAAACCCCCCAAAGCAAGCUAAAACAAAGACUGUGAGCAGUGAGUACCCAUAGUGUCCCCGACUGGGUGCAUACUAAGCCUUGGGCCUACCAGUCAUAGAUUUUCAGGAUGAAGCCAGAAUGGGACUAGAGUAGACCAAGUCAGUCGUGAGCCUUGUCUCAUGAACAAAACAACUCAAUGAAAGAGAACAUCUGAAAAAAAAAUUCCAUCAAUUUAAGCUUUCAGAUUUUGCACAGAUAAGAACAAAUAUGAACUUCCAUUCAAUAUUCCCAAAUAUACCAAGAAAUGAGUGCCAGGAGUGACAGUCAGCAGAAACACUAAAUGAAAGAUUUAGUUCCCCAAGUACUUCAGAUCUCACAGUGAUAAGGUACAAAAUAUAAAAUGCUCACCUAUGACUAUUUAAAUAAAUAAAAGAUGGGAUCACAAAAAUGAGAAACCAAAAACAGGUUAAAAAGGAAGAGCAGAAAGAUUUGAAAAAAAAUCGUAAUAACUUAGAAACUUGAAAUAUGAUUCUUGAAAUUACAAAAAUAAUUCAAAAUACAACAAAAUAAUAAUGAUUAUUAUUGUUGUACAAGUUGUACAAGAAUGAGGCUGGGUUUUGGAAAGAGACAGUGACUCUGGGCCACACUUCAUUUCCUGGGCCCUAACGCCAUGCUCACGUGAGGCCAGAAUAUUGCAUACUGCCUUGUGAAAAGAGUUUUCAUCCCCUUUGAGUGUCCACUCUUUUAACCACAGUCACUGGGACUCACUCAAGGAGGCCAGGCAAUCUCAUUAGAUUAGAUUAGAUUAGAUUAGAAGGCGUUUUCUCCUACAGCAACCCGAGUAGACAACUUUUCCAUUUCUUCUCAUGAAAUAGUUUUCACUCUUUAGAACCACAUCUCCAUUUCCAAAGAGUAUUUGCUUUACAUUUGCAUAACUAAAAGGCUCAGUGAGAUGACUUUCCAAGAACAAAGGAGCAUUUUGUCUAAAGAAAUACAGGAU
rnacentral:lncRNA from 10 species